rnacentral:rRNA from 1 species
GGGUUGUGAGGUUAAGCGACUAAGCGUACACGGUGGAUGCCCUGGCAGUCAGAGGCGAUGAAGGGCGUGCUAAUCUGCGAUAAGCGCCGGUAAGGUGAUAUGAACCGUUAUAACCGGCGAUACCCGAAUGGGGAAACCCAGUGUGACUCGUCACACUAUCAUUAACUGAAUCCAUAGGUUAAUGAGGCGAACCGGGGGAACUGAAACAUCUAAGUACCCCGAGGAAAAGAAAUCAACCGAGAUUCCCCCAGUAGCGGCGAGCGAACGGGGAGGAGCCCAGAGCCUGAAUCAGCAUGUGUGUUAGUGGAAGCGUCUGGAAAGGCGCGCGAUACAGGGUGACAGCCCCGUACACAAAAGCGCAUGUGCUGUGAGCUCGAUGAGUAGGGCGGGACACGUGGUAUCCUGUCUGAAUAUGGGGGGACCAUCCUCCAAGGCUAAAUACUCCUGACUGACCGAUAGUGAACCAGUACCGUGAGGGAAAGGCGAAAAGAACCCCGGCGAGGGGAGUGAAAAAGAACCUGAAACCGUGUACGUACAAGCAGUGGGAGCACAGGUUUACCUGUGUGACUGCGUACCUUUUGUAUAAUGGGUCAGCGACUUAUAUUCUGUAGCAAGGUUAACCGAAUAGGGGAGCCGGAGGGAAACCGAGUCUUAAUUGGGCGUUAAGUUGCAGGGUAUAGACCCGAAACCCGGUGAUCUAGCCAUGGGCAGGUUGAAGGUUGGGUAACACUAACUGGAGGACCGAACCGACUAAUGUUGAAAAAUUAGCGGAUGACCUGUGGCUGGGGGUGAAAGGCCAAUCAAACCGGGAGAUAGCUGGUUCUCCCCGAAAGCUAUUUAGGUAGCGCCUCGUGAAUUCAUCUCCGGGGUAGAGCACUGUUUCGGCUAGGGGGCCAUCCCGGCUUACCAACCCGAUGCAAACUGCGAAUACCGGAGAAUGUUAUCACGGGAGACACACGGCGGGUGCUAACGUCCGUCGUGAAGAGGGAAACAACCCAGACCGCCAGCUAAGGUCCCAAAGUCAUGGUUAAGUGGGAAACGAUGUGGGAAGGCCCAGACAGCCAGGAUGUUGGCUUAGAAGCAGCCAUCAUUUAAAGAAAGCGUAAUAGCUCACUGGUCGAGUCGGCCUGCGCGGAAGAUGUAACGGGGCUAAACCAUGCACCGAAGCUGCGGCAGCGACACUGUGUGUUGUUGGGUAGGGGAGCGUUCUGUAAGCCUGCGAAGGUGGCCUGUGAGGGUUGCUGGAGGUAUCAGAAGUGCGAAUGCUGACAUAAGUAACGAUAAAGCGGGUGAAAAGCCCGCUCGCCGGAAGACCAAGGGUUCCUGUCCAACGUUAAUCGGGGCAGGGUGAGUCGACCCCUAAGGCGAGGCCGAAAGGCGUAGUCGAUGGGAAACGGGUUAAUAUUCCCGUACUUGGUGUUACUGCGAAGGGGGACGGAGAAGGCUAUGUUGGCCGGGCGACGGUUGUCCCGGUUUAAGCGUGUAGGUGUGUGUUCGGGUAAAUCCGGUUCACUUUAACACUGAGGCGUGACGACGAGGCACUACGGUGCUGAAGCAACAAAUGCCCUGCUUCCAGGAAAAGCCUCUAAGCAUCAGGUAACAUCAAAUCGUACCCCAAACCGACACAGGUGGUCAGGUAGAGAAUACCAAGGCGCUUGAGAGAACUCGGGUGAAGGAACUAGGCAAAAUGGUGCCGUAACUUCGGGAGAAGGCACGCUGACACGUAGGUGAAGUGAUUUACUCAUGGAGCUGAAGUCAGUCGAAGAUACCAGCUGGCUGCAACUGUUUAUUAAAAACACAGCACUGUGCAAACACGAAAGUGGACGUAUACGGUGUGACGCCUGCCCGGUGCCGGAAGGUUAAUUGAUGGGGUCAGCGCAAGCGAAGCUCCUGAUCGAAGCCCCGGUAAACGGCGGCCGUAACUAUAACGGUCCUAAGGUAGCGAAAUUCCUUGUCGGGUAAGUUCCGACCUGCACGAAUGGCGUAAUGAUGGCAGGCUGUCUCCACCCGAGACUCAGUGAAAUUGAACUCGCUGUGAAGAUGCAGUGUACCCGCGGCAAGACGGAAAGACCCCGUGAACCUUUACUAUAGCUUGACACUGAACAUUGAGCCUUGAUGUGUAGGAUAGGUGGGAGGCUUUGAAGUGUGGACGCCAGUCUGCAUGGAGCCGACCUUGAAAUACCACCCUUUAAUGUUUGAUGUUCUAACGUGGACCCGUUACCCGGGUUGCGGACAGUGUCUGGUGGGUAGUUUGACUGGGGCGGUCUCCUCCUAAAGAGUAACGGAGGAGCACGAAGGUUGGCUAAUCCUGGUCGGACAUCAGGAGGUUAGUGCAAUGGCAUAAGCCAGCUUGACUGCGAGCGUGACGGCGCGAGCAGGUGCGAAAGCAGGUCAUAGUGAUCCGGUGGUUCUGAAUGGAAGGGCCAUCGCUCAACGGAUAAAAGGUACUCCGGGGAUAACAGGCUGAUACCGCCCAAGAGUUCAUAUCGACGGCGGUGUUUGGCACCUCGAUGUCGGCUCAUCACAUCCUGGGGCUGAAGUAGGUCCCAAGGGUAUGGCUGUUCGCCAUUUAAAGUGGUACGCGAGCUGGGUUUAGAACGUCGUGAGACAGUUCGGUCCCUAUCUGCCGUGGGCGCUGGAGAACUGAGGGGGGCUGCUCCUAGUACGAGAGGACCGGAGUGGACGCAUCACUGGUGUUCGGGUUGUCAUGCCAAUGGCACUGCCCGGUAGCUAAAUGCGGAAGAGAUAAGUGCUGAAAGCAUCUAAGCACGAAACUUGCCCCGAGAUGAGUUCUCCCUGAGACUUAAAGUCUCCUGAAGGAACGUUGAAGACGACGACGUUGAUAGGCCGGGUGUGUAAGCGCAGCGAUGCGUUGAGCUAACCGGUACUAAUGAACCGUGAGGCUUAACCUUACAACGCCGAAG